CACUGAGUCAGGAAAAACAUUCAGAGCCUGAGCCGGGAUGUUGCUAGUGAAGCAGAGAUUUCAGCUGGCAAUUAUAUCUGAGCACUAAGGUGCCACCAUUACGGUUCUGUGAGACAUCCUGGGAGGGAAGCCAGUCCACGACCACAAAGAAUACUUGAGGAUCUUCAGCAUAACGAGAGGCAUGGCAGAAAACUGUCUUAGUCGAAUUAUCCUGCUGCACCCCUGAAACUCACACGCCUCCAUUUUUGCAGAUGGCACACAGCACAUGAACUUGUCAUCUCUUCUAGCUUAAAGACAUCUUCUCCAGUCGUGUCCAUCAAAUGAAGCUUUCAAGUUGAAUGCUGAAUAAAAUACCCUAAACACAGCACAGAGCAAGCCCAGAC
ensembl:lncRNA